GGGCCUAUAGCUCAGGUGGUUAGAGCGCACGCCUGAUAAGCGUGAGGUCAGUGGUUCAACUCCACUUAGGCCCA
rnacentral:tRNA from 1 species